rnacentral:sRNA from 1 species
GCCAGGCGUGGUGGUGCACGCCUGUAAUCCCAGAGGCUGGGGAGGCUGAGGCAAGAGGAUUGUGAGUUCAAGGCCAGCCUCAGCAAUUUAGCGAGGUGCUUAGCAACUCAGUGAGACCUGUCUCUA